GUUAGCUUGUUUUUAAUAGGCAGAUUUUACAAAUUUACUGCAGCAUUUGUGCAAUAAUAGUAACGGUCUUAUGAACACCAAGUACAGUUUCUGUACUUAUGGACUGCAGGGACUUCUGUUUGGACGCUUUGACCUUCAAAGCCAUUUCACUUUGUUACAUGUCUAAGGACUUGGAGAGUUGCUUCUGGAAAUAAUUAGGCGGAGAGUAUGUUAGAUUACAG